rnacentral:tRNA from 1 species
GGAGGGGUGGCCGAGUGGACGAAGGCGGUGGUCUUGAAAACCACUGUGCGGCAACGCACCGGGGGUUCGAAUCCCUCCCCCUCCG